AAAAAAAAAAAAAAAGAAAAAACAGCAGAUAAUUAAAUUAAACUAGCUUCCCCACAAAGCUGAGAUCAUAAAUUAAAUACUCCCCCACUCCCCAAGAGUAGCUCUUUCCAUUGAUCUCUAUUCUUGGCUCUUGUCUUCUGCUACCUCAACUGGAGUUUCAGAUGGUUUGUCUUCCUCAGCCGCCGGUUGGGCCUCGACCUCGGGUGCUGGAGGGUCCUCAGCCUUUGGUUCUUCGGCUUCAGGCACCUGAUCUUCUUCUUUCGCCACCGAUUCAGUUGGCACUACUGCUUCUUCUUUCUUUUCUUCCUCCUCGACUUUGGGUUCCUCUGUAGGCUUCACCUCCUCCACCGAAGCUUCUGCGGAUGGCUCUGCCUCAUCCGACUCUUCAGCUUCAGCUUUUCGCUCUUCAACCUCCACAUCUGCCUCGAUCCCUGGCUGUUCCUCCGGAGAUUUCUCCUCCACCUUCACCACCUCUACCGACUCCACCGUCUCUGGCAAAGCAGCAGAUUCAACCUCAGUGGCCAUUGGAGAGAAGAUGUAAGAAAAGAAAGGGAAGGGAAAGUUUUUUAAGAGAUCAAGAAAUGAAUAUAAAUGGGGAAACUAAAGAGAGAGAUCAAUGG
rnacentral:misc_RNA from 1 species